UACAGAGGUCCCGAGCGUUGCUCGGAAUCACUGGGCGUAAAGGGUGCGUAGGCGGGUCUUUUAAGUCAGGGGUGAAAUCCUGGAGCUCAACUCCAGAACUGCCUUUGAUACUGAAGAUCUUGAGUUCGGGAGAGGUGAGUGGAACUGCGAGUGUAGAGGUGAAAUUCGUAGAUAUUCGCAAGAACACCAGUGGCGAAGGCGGCUCACUGGCCCGAUACUGACGCUGAGGCACGAAAGCGUGGGGAGCAAACAGG
rnacentral:rRNA from 1 species